ensembl:lncRNA
AUGGGAUUGUCGCUUGUGACUGUCACAAAACUGAAAUCUGCGAGAUUGAGUGCCCACACUCUCACCAAGAUGAAGCCAAUCUGCGCAUGUGUGCAGGGGAAAAUGGUUUCUGCCUCAUCAAUGAUGGGGAUAAUGUUAAACUGGACUGAAGUCAUGACUACUACUACCAAGUUCAGGCACAGCUUCAUUGUAGAUGCUGAGUACUGUGACUUUGUUGUGUGGAACUGUAAUAACAUUUUUGUGGAAAGGAUUUUGCCUGAUUUUGAACUUUGGGAUGAUGUGAUUUCUAAAGUUGAGUGCUUUUUUAGAAACUGUAUACUUCCAGAAAUACUGGGACAGCAAGUUACAAACUUACAUGUAUAAAAUAUGAUGAAACGUUAUGUACUUAGUUCCAGGCACUCUUGAAAAUGGGCUGUGUGAUGCAUUGUCGUUAUAUCAAUACUGUUGUAUGAGACAUGACAUUUUGAAUAUUGUUAUGAUUAAAUGCUAUUGAGAAUACAGAAUAAUACAUGGUGGUUUAUUUACAAGAUUAGAUUUUUCAACAGUUGUUAUAAUAACUACAAGAACAUGGUGUGGAGUGUUAAAUCUAGGUUCCAAUGUAAUAGUAUGUACAUUGUCUUUUUUACAUUUUGAGGUUAAGAUGAUGACAUUCUGAGAUGAUCAAGUCAAGCAGCCCAGGUUUCUGAGGCAUUGACCUUUUGUUUGCUCUUCCUGACCAUCUGGCUUCUUAAGCUCAAGGCACAGCUGUGCCUUUGUUUCUAUGAUAACGUGAAUGUAUGGGAGAUACUAUCAGGCUGAUCCCUGUAUUGCAUUUGCAUGCUUUGUUUAGGUUGUCUCAACCUCUGUGUAUCCCGUCCCCUUGUAGCGCUAAGCAGAGCAUUCUCAAUAAAGAAUUCUGCUGAAGAUUACCCAAGAGUCUCCUGGUCUUCGCUUCUGGGUUUCCAACAGUUUUGGUGCCGUGACCGGGAUAGAGCUUCUCACCUGAAUCCAGAUUGAAACUUCAAGCUCAACAAAGAUCUGACUUCGUUCCAGACUGAAUCUUUCAGUACAACCAAGGGUUGGUGAGUGUAACUCUAUCCAAAAGAACCUUUAAGACCAGUAUCCUCUGCACCGCCAGAGAAGAGUUAACAGACAGCUGCAGGGUUUGGUUAACUAAGUUACCCUCUAAAAAAAUAUUUUAGAGAUGAA